rnacentral:tRNA from 2 species
GGCGCGGUAGCCAAGUGGUAAGGCGAAGGUCUGCAAAACCUUUAUCGGCGGUUCGAUUCCGCCCCGCGCCUCCA